rnacentral:lncRNA from 11 species
UGUUUGCAGUUAUGUAUGUUUCAACAUUUCUCUAAGACUGCAAUCCUAUAAAUAGAGAAAACAUUGAGAAUUUGGAGAGAUAGCAGAUAAGACAUCCACCAUGAAAAGUCUCUACGUUCUCCUUGCUGUCACUGUCCUCCUCUUCCAUGUUGCUUCAGCUCAACCACCAACAACAAGGGACUGUGCUGCUCUGGGAGGAUACUGCCACGUGCCACUGAGUGAAGAAUGUCCCUCUGGUGAAGAUCUUCCAGCCAACUGUGGCAUCAAUGGAAGGUGCUGCAAAUCAUGAUCUGAGAUUCAGACCUUUGCUUGCGGAAAGAAGCCACCCUGAACAAUGCUUUGGAAAUAGCCAUGGAAUAAUCCAAUCAUCAGCUAAUUAAAGGCAGAUUAAAUGUGUACAUUGUAACCCUUUUCUAAUGCACAAUACAAGUUAUACUGUGGUCUUGAUAGA